rnacentral:rRNA from 1 species
GUGCGUAACGCGUAUACAAUCUGCCUUUCACUGGGGGAUAGCCCGAAGAAAUUUGGAUUAAUACCCCAUAGUAUAGUAGUGUGGCAUCACACAACUAUUAAAGCUUAGGUGGUGAAAGAUGAGUAUGCGUUCUAUUAGCUAGUUGGAGAGGUAACGGCUCCCCAAGGCGAUGAUAGAUAGGGGUUCUGAGAGGGAUGUCCCCCACACUGGUACUGAGAUACGGACCAGACUCCUACGGGAGGCAGCAGUGAGGAAUAUUGGACAAUGGUCGGAAGACUGAUCCAGCCAUGCCGCGUGCAGGAUGAAGGUCUUAUGGAUUGUDAACUGCU